GACGAACGCUGGCGGCGUGCUUAACACAUGCAAGUCGAACGGAAAGGCCUGCUUUCCCUUGUGGAUUGCGGGUGCUCGAGUGGCGAACGGGUGAGUAACACGUGAGUGAUCUGCCCCCAACUUGGGUAUAAGCCUGGGAAACUGGGUCUAAUUCCCGAUAGGACUGCAGGGUGGUGCCUGUGGUGGAAAACGAUUUUCUAGUGGUUGGGGAUGAGCUCGCGGCCUAUCAGCUUGUUGGUGGGGUAAUGGCCUACCAAGGCGGCGACGGGUAGCCGGCCUGGGAGGGUGGACGGCCACAUUGGGACUGAGAUACGGCCCAGACUCCUACGGGAGGCAGAAGUGGGGAAUAUUGCACAAUGGGCGGAAGCCUGAUGCAGCGACGCCGCGUGGGGGAUGACGGCCUUCGGGUUGUAAACUCCUUUCGACCGCGAGGAAGCCACCUGGUUGGAAGGGUGGUGACGGUAGUGGUAGAAGAAGCACCGGCUAACUACGUG
rnacentral:rRNA from 1 species